rnacentral:tRNA from 1 species
CAGAGAAUAGUUUAAAAAAAAUAUUAGUUUUGGGAAUUAAAGAUAAAAGGAAGUUUUUUCUCUGA